GUGCCGCUAGCUCAGCAGGUAGAGCAAUCGCCUCUUAAGCGAUGGGUCCGGGGUUCGAGCCCCCGGCGGCGCA
rnacentral:tRNA from 1 species